rnacentral:lncRNA from 1 species
CCAAUAUAAACAAGACACCUAAAAUAAAACUAGUUUAAGGAAGCACAGAGAUGGAUUUUACCAGGCAUGUUCGCUCUGUUAAUUACUGCCGUCUGAGCCCGAGGUUGCUCCAUUUCUUUCCAGCCAACCCAAAAAGGAAACCUUCAUGGAUUUAUGGUUGUCUCUAAGAACCUGGAGCUGGAGUGUCAUGGCCACCAGGCCAGUGACCCAGGAAUCUCGGAAUAUUUGUUCAUAUUCUAAUGGGCUAUUGGUUAUUUUGCGUGAACAAGAAGAACCUUGCAACGCAGCCCUUGAAACUGACAAUGCACAGCAUGUAGAUAAAGCACCGCUCCUCCCUUACAAAUGCGUCAGAAAGGGCAAAACAAAAAACCACAGAACGUUCUCCAAAGCUCUGCGGCGCUGGCGACACAGACCCCUACACUUCGGGCUGCGUGGACAGGAGAGCACCUCCGGGGCUGGACAGUCCGGCUCUCAGGUGUGCAGUUUUCAAGCCCCGCAGCUGAGAUCGGCUGGCAGCUCAGGCAGCGCCCACUAGCUUUCAACUAACCAGCGCCUCCCUCAGCCGGCAUAAACCCAAGGCGCAAGCUCCUGCCUCCUGAGGAUACUGCGGACGCUGGCUGAGCCAACAGAAACUCAGAGGGCCUUUCAAUCUGGUUAAAGAGAAGCUCAACAGAAAGUGAAACAGUUGACAUCCCUUGGGAGAAAAGGCUCCAGGCUACGUAGGAAAAAGAAGGUAGCUCCCAGGCACCUGUAGCUGCUUUAGUUGCGUGCUCAAACUCUCUUCCAGAAGAUUCACCACAAAAACCCUGUGAUGCGCUGGCAUCCCCCUGGGGGGAUGCGGAAGCAAAAGUCAGUUAAGCAUCCCCAGAAAGGAAAAAAAUCAAUCCCCCGUAAAGUACACCCCGAAUCCACACGGAGAAGCGGAGGGGAGGGGGACAUCAACUGGCAUUUACUUCCGCUGCCCCUCUCUUCCGCCCGCAAGACCGAUCCAGAGCGCAAGCGCCCCGCCACACCCCGCAAAUCCCUCCAUCGCCAAAGAUGGGACAGGAGGAAGGCAUCCUGACGACGCCAGAGCCCGGGCUGCUGUGCCUGGGGCCGGACAGGAGAG